rnacentral:rRNA from 1 species
UUAAAUUGAAGAGUUUGAUCAUGGCUCAGAUUGAACGCUGGCGGCAGGCCUAACACAUGCAAGUCGAACGGUAACAGGAAGAAGCUUGCUUCUUUGCUGACGAGUGGCGGACGGGUGAGUAAUGUCUGGGAAACUGCCUGAUGGAGGGGGAUAACUACUGGAAACGGUAGCUAAUACCGCAUAACGUCGCAAGACCAAAGAGGGGGACCUUCGGGCCUCUUGCCAUCGGAUGUGCCCAGAUGGGGAUUAGCUG